rnacentral:lncRNA from 1 species
AAGAGAAGAAGAUUCCUGCUGUGCCAGAAAUGCUUAAGAACAAGUGAAGGAUUUAGCAGAGCUGAAAAUCAAGUGCCGGGGAAAGAAGUUUUUGCCCAAAAGAGGCUUCGAAAGGUAAGUAGGAAGCUUAUCUAUGAAAAAGCGAAGUACUAUCACAAGGAAUAUAGGUAGAUGUACAGAUCUGAAAUUCAAAUGGCUAGGAUGCUAAGAAAAACUAGCAACUUCUAUGUA